rnacentral:rRNA from 1 species
CCUACGGGGGGCAGCAGUUUCGAAUCAUUCACAAUGGGGGCAACCCUGAUGGUGCGACGCCGCGUGGGGGAUGAAGGUCUUCGGAUUGUAAACCCCUGUCACCUGGGACUAUUAACCAGGAGAGGAAGCAGUGGCUAACUCUGUGCCAGCAGCCGCGGUAAUACAGAGACUGCAAGCGUUACUCGGAUUCACUGGGCGUAAAGGGAGCGCAGGUGGGCAGAUGUGUCGGGCGUGAAAUCCCGGGGCUUAACUCCGGAACGGCACCCGAAACUAUCUGUCUUGAGGAUUGGAGAGGCGGGUGGAAUUCCAGGUGUAGCGGUGAAAUGCGUAGAUAUCUGGAGGAACACCGACGGCGAAGGCAGCCCGCUGGACAAACUGACACUCAGGCUCGAAAGUAUGGGGAGCAAAAGGGAUUAGAUACCCUUGUAGUC